UACGUAGGACCCAAGCGUUAUCCGGAGUGACUGGGCGUAAAGAGCUCGUAGGCGGUUUGUCACGUCUGCUGUGAAAACUGGAGGCUCAACCUCCAGCCUGCAGUGGGUACGGGCAGACUAGAGUGCGGUAGGGGAGAUUGGAAUUCCUGGUGUAGCGGUGGAAUGCGCAGAUAUCAGGAGGAACACCGAUGGCGAAGGCAGAUCUCUGGGCCGUAACUGACGCUGAGGAGCGAAAGCAUGGGGAGCGAACAGG
rnacentral:rRNA from 1 species